GGACAACGCACCCGCGAAACGGCUCCGAGUAACGGCUCCGAAUCCAGCCUUCUGAUUGGACAGCGGGAGCGAGAGGCGGGAUGGGCUUUGCGUAACAGACCGCGGUGUGUUGUGGGAAGAGACGGGAUCCCCCUCCUUCUCCUCCAAGUGUUGAUCCUUCAGAGCGGAGCCGAAAACCUCAGUGAACAGCGGCGCGGCCAGCCUGAGCGGCCUGUCCGCAGAAGGACGGGCUUCAUUUACACAAAACCAGACCAGCAGCUCCGCUGUGGUCGCAGCAGAAACGAGCUGGGAGGAAAACGCUCGUUUCCCCCUCAGAGUAGCGUACUGUACCGCCAGCAGCGCGGCGCGCGCGGCUCCAGGUCCAGUUCCAGUUCAUACGCCACAUCCAUCGCUCCUGUCCUGCGGGACGAGCUACAAGUCGCCGCUGAGGAAAACCAGAAAACACGUAUAUAAACAGCAAACCAUAUACAAACAGGAUCCAGAAACGCUGCCACCUUCUCUGGGCCUGAGCUCAUUUAAAAUGGACUGAGGGGAAGUGGAAAAGUGUCCGGUGGUCCGACGAAUCAACAUUGAAUUUCUUUUCGGAAAUCAUGGACACUGUGUCCUCCGGGCUGAAGACCACUCAGCUUGUUAUCAGGGCUCAGGUCUAAAGCCAGUAUUCAUGAUGGUUUAGGGGGCAUUCGUGCACAUGGCCUGGGUGAUGUGCCCAUCUGUGAAGGCGGCAUUAAUGCAGAACAAUAUAAACAGGUUUCAGCAACAUCUGCUGCCGUCCAGACGACGUCUUUUUCAGGGAAGGCCUUGAUUAUUUCAGCAGGACGAUGUCAAACCACAUUCUGCAUGUAUUACAGCAGCACUGCUCCGUAUUAAGAGUCCAGGUGCUAAACUGACCUGCCUGCAGUCCAGACCGGUCACCACUGUGAACAUUUGGUGCAUCAUGCUAUGUAAGAGAGUUCUUAUAACAAUAAUUGUUCUUUUAACCAGCUCAGAAGAUGUUGGGUGUUUUGUUAAUUAAUUUUUUUUCAUUUUUUAAUUUUACUGCAUAAAUUGUUUGCUUUUAUUAUAAAGUAAUGGGGUGUUUUUUUUUAAGCGGAAACAUUUACUGCCAAGAUAAAAGGUUUUAAAACAGUUUGUUUAGGUUCUUAAGACUUUUGCCCAGCACUGUAUGUGCCAGUACGUCACGAGUCUACAGGUGCUUUAAUGACAGUGUGAUAAAGUCAGGCCUUUCGGGAGUUACAGCACAGUCUCCUACAGUUUAAUGCCCUCGUCACACGGAUGCUGCUGGAUACACGUUCAUUGAGCAGUAGAAGAAAACUGUCCAACUUGAUUAGACGAUGAAGCACAACUUCCUCAGUAGGCCUGCGGUGCCACAUCUGUGUUCUCGGUAAAUUAAAUGUGAUUAUAAGGAAGUGGUUUUUGCCAGAAGAGCCUGGUGUUGAUUUUGCAGAAAUGAGAGAGGAAGAAGGGCACAGCCUGGGGUACGUGGUUCAAGUAUACAGUGCAGCGAGGAAGAAGGUAUUGGGUUGCAGGAAUUGGGAAUAUUUAGACACCCACCUGUGACUGUGUACCCAACAUGCACUGUUUGUUUCAACCACAGACCUGUCACAGCAUAAAUACUGCGCGGGAAGCAGUGACUGAAACAGGGAUAACAAAUAAUGGACAAACACCCCCCUUGGAGAAGAC
ensembl:lncRNA